UCAAGAUAAAUCUUACAAUAACAAGGAACCAUCAAGGGAUGAACUCCAGAUCUCGCCGGUCGAGGCGCCAUCGGAAUCUUCAGCGCCAAAUUCCCUACCGAAACCCGCACGAACUGACACGGGUCCAUUUUGGUAGUGGGUUUGUUUUCUUUUCUUUUUUCUUCUUUUCUGGUAGUUGUGGAUUGAGUGGGUGCGAUCGUGGUUUGAUUUAUACAGAUGGAGCAGAACGACAGAACUGUAUUAUGAAGUUGCACAGGCUGGCUGGAAGUGAUGGAAGGAAAUAUCGAGCUGGUUCUUCCUUGGAUCCGCACGUACGCGAGGUAUAUGGAGGAGAAAACCAGAGGAGGAAGAAGAACGUA
rnacentral:lncRNA from 1 species